rnacentral:rRNA from 1 species
GACGAACGCUGGCGGCGUGCCUAACACAUGCAAGUCGAGCGGGAACCUCAGGAGGGGUAACCCUUCUGAGGGGAGAGCGGCGAACGGGUGAGUAACACGUGGGCAACCUGCCCCGGACACCGGGAUAACCCAGGGAAACCUGAGCUAAUACCGGAUACUCCGGCGCGAUCGCAUGGUCGUGCCGGGAAAGCUCCGACGGUCCGGGAUGGGCCCGCGGCCUAUCAGCUUGUUGGUGGGGUAACGGCCCACCAAGGCGACGACGGGUAGCUGGUCUGAGAGGACGGCCAGCCACACUGGGACUGAGACACGGCCCAGACUCCUACGGGAGGCAGCAGUGGGGGAUCUUGCGCUAAUGCGCGAAAGCGUGACGCAGCGACGCCGC